rnacentral:misc_RNA from 1 species
CUGACCCUCAUGCUACCACCCCCAGGACAACAGCCAAUCUUGAGGCUACUGCCACAGUGAAGAUUGUGUUGAUGCCCAGUGGUCAAGUCGUGACCCUGGCGUGUACCCUGGGUCAGACUCUACAACAGCUGAAGGACCACUUCUCCCAGGAACUCAAGAUGCCUGGCAACCUCAUCCUCAUGAUGUUUGAUGGUAAAUCAGUGGACGAGAACACAACCCUGGCAGAUUUAGGGGUAGGGCCGAAUGGAACCAUCCAGUUAGAGAUGCAGUCAGCUGAUCCAGUGAACACCCCCAUCAAGACGUACCGGCCGCGACAGGAGUACCACAUGCCUGACGUCAUCACAGUCCGCGUACAGACAGAUGAAAACCAGUCUAAAGAUGUAGUAGUGGAAAUUGAGAGAGCCACCAGAAAGAAGCCAUAUUUAGGUGGUUACCGCCACAAGAAGACUGGGGUCCUGUAUCAUCAUGCUACAGCCCAGACUGUCAAAAAACAGCCCCCACCCUCCCAAAUCCCCAAGAACUGCCGGGACACACAGACUGUUCAACAGAAGCACCGCGUUCAACAGACCACAAAUGACACUUCCACUCAGAUGACAGGGAUAAAUGUAUUCGUGUCCAACAUGGAGGACAAACUCAUUGUGCCUGGGAAAUAUACUACUGCAGAUGAGCAUCAUUCAAUGAUUCUUAGAAAGGUCAGUUAAUCAAAAUAAACAAAAAUGAUUUAAAAGAUUGUCCACUUGGGUUAUAUAUUUUCAUAAUUCAUGAAAACUAUUUAUCACUUUUCUACAUUUGGUUAUAAAGUAAGAUAUUCUCUUAAGGUCAUCAUAAUUCAAAAAUAUCAUCGGAGGUGGUUAGCAAAACGAUAUGUGGAGAAAUUAAAAGAAGACAAAAUUCAACGCCUUGAAUGGGAAAGACAAGAGGAACUCAAGAAGAAGAAAGAGAAGGAGGAGAGGAUCAAGAAAGAGUUUGAGAGGAGGAUGAACCCCAAAACAAAGGAGGACUUCGAUUUGUUAUAUCAUGCACUAGAAAAAUGGAGACAGGAAGAGUUGGAGAGGAUAAAUGGAACCUCCGAUGGAGCAGAGCGUAAGGCCGCUCUGUGCAUGUUGUUGGAUCAGGAGACCCAGCUCAUCUCUGCUAUUGGUCGACACAAACUGGAGGCUGAUACCGAGAACAAAGAUAAACGCAUUCAGGCCUUCCUUAACAAGGCUGCUGCCCCAAAGAAGUGGAAGGGGCAUGAUGGGAAGACGACCGAGAUGGACACCCCGUACACGAUCCGAGCCAAGGAGUUGCGGGACAUCUACAACAGUAUCAACAUGAAGUACCUGACUCAGGAUGAGAGGCUCGAUGUCCUGUUGACACUCAAACACACAGUGAAGGAACAUGACUGUAAACUCACUCAGGAAAUCAUUGAGCUGAUUGACAGAGAGGCGGACCUUUUGAUGAGGGGUGUCAGAGAGGGAAAUCUAGACGGCCUUAGGAAAAGAAUAUCCACCCUGUUCUUGCAGUACAUCAAGACACCUACAUUCAACCCAGAAGCUGCCAAACUGCUCAAGGUGCCUCAAGAUCCCUCAGCCCUCCGCAAGAACAUCUACUUCUGCCCCAGCUGCAACCAGUACCUGCCUUCUACCGAGUUUGCUCUGUCCUCCAACUCCCGGACUGUCGGCAAGUGCCACAAAUGUACGAAGAUCGACAAUGAUGCUAGAACCAGGCAGGACUACAGCACGUACACCUACAUGCUCAAGAUGCUGCGACGAUCCGAGGAGAGACACGGGGAUGGAUCGAGGAUUGCAUUCCUCCUACAGGAACAGGAUCUGCGGUACCUGGUUGAGAAGAUCUGGAGCCGCCAGAGCAUUCUGAGUGCGUGGGAGGACAUCUUUGACCUGGUUCUGUCUCGCUGGGACAAGCACCAGGAGUGGUCUCCCUGGAACUGUAUCCUGCUGACCAAGGACGAGGCCGCCGCCCAUGACAGACUUGUCGACCUGGAGGAGGGUUAUGGCCAAGUCUUCAUUCAGAAGGUUCAACAGAAACAUGUGCUAGCUAGGAACUAUUUCUCUCGACUGCCAGGAAUGGCCGAACAUUUGCGAGUCAUGGCUAACGAUCGUUACACACAACCCAAUGGGCCAGCCAUUAACGGCCAACAGGUUCCUGUGCAGUCAAAAGCCUAAAAGCCGUUUAUCUAUUUAGAACUAACUCUGAUUAUUCAAUCAAUGGAGAAAUUUUCUCAAACUUUGAAAAAUUCUGAAUACUUCGAGAAGUUUAUUUGUUGGAAACAAAAGUUCUGUGAUAUUUUUGAAUUACAAAUGAGUUGUGUACACUGUAUUUAAAUAUCAUGUAUAGAUUUUAUCUUAAUUGAAAAAAUUAAUUGAUGUUAUGUACAUAAACACAUUUAUGUAAAUAUAAAUUAUACAACAAAAUGC